rnacentral:lncRNA from 1 species
AUAAAUUUGUUAUACUUGGUGAGUUACAUCAAUGGCCACUGGGUAAAAACUUGUAUUUAUGUAUGACUCUAACCUGACUUCUUUUGCUGUGGUUCAACCAUGGGAGUUCCAUACCGCAUCUAAUCUAAAUAAAAGUACAUUAGAAAUCAGUAUAGUAUAGUGUAAUGAUAAAUAGUUUAAUGGUGAUGCAAGGAUGACAAGUACUCCCUCUGUUCUGAUUUACAUGAAGCUGGUUAGCUCAAAUUUGAGCUAAGCAACGUCAAAUAAAAAAAGAACGGAGGGAGUAGAACGGAAGUUAUAGGAAUACUAGCGAAGAUAUAAGCAAUAUUGGACCUGAAACACAUGUAGGCAACAUAAUGAACAUACCAAUUAACGAUUUUCAAAAUCUUAUAGCUUUCCAUACUCACUUCUCACCUACAAAAAUGGCAUUCAGGGACUAGUGACAAUAAGUCGCUGCCAUAUCACCACAAGUGUGUUUACACUCUUGUUUGGUGCCAAAAAAAGAAACUAGGACUUAGUUUUAGUGGCAGACACAACCAGGGCAGGGACUUAUUUUGAUUGAAGGAAUUAUAUAGGUAUUUUGGGGGAAUUACAAACCCUAGGGUUUGAUCUUACCCUGCCAUUUGGAAUGCAAGAAUAGGUUAACAAAUUCCUAGGUGUUUCGGCAGGAUAUCAAAGGACGUACGUGUAUGGAAUUUGCGAAAUGAUUAAUUAAACUUUUGCGAAUAUCAGAUAUGAUGCGACCGGAGAAUGUCAGACAACGUGACAGGAAGCUGUAGCUUUCUCAAACAAGCG